rnacentral:rRNA from 2 species
AGAGUUUGAUCCUGGCUCAGAACGAACGCUGGCGGCAUGCCUAACACAUGCAAGUCGAACGAGACCUUCGGGUCUAGUGGCGCACGGGUGCGUAACGCGUGGGAACCUGCCUUUAGGUUCGGAAUAACUCAGAGAAAUUUGAGCUAAUACCGGAUAAUGUCUUCGGACCAAAGAUUUAUCGCCUUUAGAUGGGCCCGCGUUGGAUUAGCUAGUUGGUGGGGUAAAGGCCUACCAAGGCGACGAUCCAUAGCUGGUCUGAGAGGAUGAUCAGCCACACUGGGACUGAGACACGGCCCAGACUCCUACGGGAGGCAGCAGUGGGGAAUAUUGGACAAUGGGCGAAAGCCUGAUCCAGCAAUGCCGCGUGAGUGAUGAAGGCCUUAGGGUUGUAAAGCUCUUUUACCCGAGAUGAUAAUGACAGUAUCGGGAGAAUAAGCUCCGGCUAACUCCGUG